GAAAUUACAGCAUCCCUCACUUUAUCAUAUAACUCCAGGUGGACCUGAAAUUAGAAAAUGUACAUCAUAAUUUAUAUAUGAUUUUUUAGAAGCAUAUACUGGAAAGUGGUGAUUAAAAAUAAUUCUAGUUAGAAUUAUGGUUGGUUCAAGAAGCACGAAAGGAAAGAAUGUGUUAUGAAACAGGAUUCUCAUUUCCAGUGAAGAGCAGACAUUAGAGAGAGAUAAAGAAAGAAAGAGGAACGGAAAUAGGAGAAGGAACAUAGAGAGAGAUAGAACUUAGAGAUAAUUAGAUAGAAGAAUUGAUUGUAAUAUUGACAUUUCUUGGAUAGCCUCUGUUACAGCCCCUAGCAGUUAUUUAUACAACUUUCUCUUGCUGAACUAAUUAGCUGCUCCUGCCACUAACAACUGUUUGACUUAUCUAACUACCUCAUCCAGCUCAUCUUAAAUAUAUCUUCUUAUUCUACUCUCUUUACCAUACAAUUACCAGCCCCUUGCUCCUUAUUAGUAUUCAUAACAUUCCCCACUUCCUGAAAUCAUUCUUGUCCUCAAGAA
rnacentral:misc_RNA from 1 species